rnacentral:rRNA from 1 species
AUGUCCCUGCUAGAGCUGAGCGAGGACGAGGAGACCACCACCUGCUCUAGCUGCGCAAGGCCACGCAGAGAGGCCAACCUCAUCCUCCAUCAAGCUAUUGGAGGCGAGUACAUGUCGGUCACGGAUGCUGGUUAUCUAUCAGUUUUGUUCGAUGUAGGAGAAAUCAUUGGUGGAAUUCUUGCUGGGUUCAUGUCUGAUCAGCUCGAUGCUAGGGCCACUACUGCAUGUGCACGGGUUGACGACAUCUACAGCCACGACCCCUCCGUCGUCCUCGUCACCUGGCACCUUGAGUGGAAGGGGCUGCCGUUCCAGUUCAGCAGGGUCUGGACCCUCUACCGCAGUGAGCUCGGCCCGCAUCGGCAACAGCGGAUUCAGAUUUUAUGGUGGCCUGUGAGGAGGAUUUCAGGGGAGAUCGUCUGUGAAUAUAACAAGAGGCUGAGAUUUGACCUGCACUGCAUGCGAAAAGCAGGUUCAGGAGCUCCAAGCUAA